rnacentral:rRNA from 1 species
CAGGCCUAACACAUGCAAGUCGAACGAGAAAGGGGAGCAAUCCCUGAGUAAAGUGGCGACCGGGUGAGUAACACGUGACUAACCUGCCUUCGAGUGGGGGAUAACCUCGGGAAACCGGGGCUAAUACCGCAUAAUGCCUUCGGGUUAAAGGAGCAAUUCGCUUGAAGAGGGGGUCGCGGCUGAUUAGCUAGUUGGCGGGGUAACGGCCCACCAAGGCGAUGAUCGGUAGCCGGCCUGAGAGGGCGCACGGCCACACUGGAACUGAAACACGGUCCAGACUCCUACGGGAGGCAGCAGUGGGGAAUUUUGCGCAAUGGGGGAAACCCUGACGCAGCAACGCCGCGUGGAGGAUGAAGUCCUUCGGGACGUAAACUCCUUUCGAUCGGGACGAUUAUGACGGUACCGGAAGAAGAAGCCCCGGCUAACUUCGUGCCAGCAGCCGCGGUAAUACA